UUCCCGGAAAUGGGAGGUCUGUGGCUUUCGGGCACUCCGGAGAGGAGAGUUUGGGACUUGGUUUCAGUUGACUAGACCAAGGCAGGGAAGUACACCUGCAUCGGCGAAUAUAAUGGCCCCGGCUCAAGAAAGCUAAGGACGAGAAGAGGCCGUCGAAGCCUAAUCACGGUCACCUGCUUCACUUCCCUGAUGACCCUCCGCCCACUCCCAACAGUUACAGUAUAGCGCUUCGGUUUGCAAAACUCUUUCUCCUUCUCACACCGCCUCUCGCUAUUAGUGUAAUCGCCAGUCCUUUCUUCGCGCUGAAAUCCCUUUUAUGUUUUUUGUUUGUUUGUUUCUGUACGCGGGCCUCUCACUGUUGUGGCCUCUCCCGUUGCGGAGCACAGGCUCCGGACGCGCAGGCUCAGCGGCCAUGGCUCACGGGCCCAGCCGCUCCGCGGCAUGUGGGAUCUUCCCGGACCGGGGCACGAACCUGUGUCCCCUGCAUCGGCAGGCGGACUCUCAACCACUGCGCCACCAAGGAAGCCCUCCUUUUAUGUUUUGAUUACCAUCAUUAGUAAUGUUACCAGCUCGUGUUUGCAUUGCUCUUUGCUAUUUGCCAGUGUGUCUUGGUGUGUUCCUCUGUGGGUUAAUCCUGUAUGGGACUCUCUGCACUUCUGGACUUGGGUGACUGUUUCCUUUCCCAGGAACUUCCUUGGAGGUGCAGUGGUUAAGAAUCCACCUGCCAAUGCAUGGGACAUGGGUUCGAGCCCUGGUCCAGGAAGAUCCCACAUGCCGCGGAGCAACUAAGCCCGUGCGCCACAACUACUGAGCCUGCGCUCUAGAGCCUGUGAGCCACAACUACUGAGCCUGUGAGCCACAGCUACUGAAGCCCACGCACCUAGAGCCCAUGCUCCACAACAAGAGAAGCCACCACAAUGAGAAGCCCGCGCACCGCAAUGAAGAGUAGCCCCCGCUCAACGCAACUAGAGAAAGCCAGCAUGCAGCAACGAAGACCCAACACAACCAAAAAUAAAUAAAUAAAUAAAAUUGAAAAUAAUAAUAAUAAAACUUCUUUAUACAAUGGAAUACUACUCAGCCAUAAAAAAGAAUGAAAUAAUGCCAUUUGCAGCAACAUGGAUGGACCGAGAAAUUAUCAUACUAAGUGAAGGAAGUCAGAAAGAAAGCCAAAUACCAUACGAUAUCACUUAUAUGUGGAAUCUAAAAUAUUACGUAAAUGAACUUAUCCACAAAGUAGAAACAGACUCACAGACAUAGAGAACAGAUUUGUGGUUGCCAAGGGAGAGGGUGUAUGGGGGAGGGAUGGAAUUAGCAGAGGCAAACUAUUAUAUAUAGAAUGGAUGAACAACAAGGUCUGUAUAGCACAGGGAACUAUAUUCAAUAUCCUGUAAUAAAACAUAAUGGAAAAGAAUUUUUUAAAAAAACUCCUUAAAGGCACACAUUCCUAUAAGACUGUCCUAAGAAUUAUCAAUUUCCUGGACUUCUCUAACUUCAAUUUAGGAAAUAUUAACUCUCCAAAACUCCACAUCCUAGCCUUCCCUUGUUGUCUUGUUUUGCUGAGUGCUACUUAUUUAAUAUUCUUUACAACAAUGCUCUUACUAUGCGGUAUAAUGAUGUACUACAUCAACUUGAAUGAAAUGAAAAAAAAAACUCUGAUUGCUUGCUCUAUGCAUCCAUUCUCCUCCCGAGUUCUUUGAUCAAGUUUACAAUCAUUACUCUGAACGGAAAGAAUGUGAACUUUUAUCCACAGGAUAAUGUCUAUAUUUUUGCCGAUAAAAAAUGAUCUGGGUUCCACAUCUAAGAGGGAAAAGCAGUUUGACUUAAAGGUAUGCAUGCCUUGAGGGCCCUCUUAUGUGUGAGUUCUCGGAGGAUGACUUCGAGCUCCAGGCCCCGUGGCUCACAGUGCACCCAAAUCAGAAAAUGUUCACAAGGGGCUUCCCUGGUGGCGCAGUGGUUGAGGGUCCGCCUGCUGAUGCAGGGGACGCAGGUUCGUGCCCCGGUCUGGGAGGAUCCCACGUGCCGCGGAGCGGCUGGGCCCGUGAGCCAUGGCCGCUGAGCCUGCGCGUCCGGAGCCUGUGCUCUGCAGCGGGAGAGGCCGCGGCAGUGAGGGGCCCGCGUACCGCAAAAAAAAAAAAAUGUUCACAAGAACUGUGAAGACGUUUUGAAAAUCCUGAAAGCCCUGAAAUUCUCCCCCAUGAUUUGGAAGAGCGCCUUUUAUUCCCGGUGUAAUGCUGAUAAAUAAACUGGUACCUGGUGUUAAA